rnacentral:rRNA from 1 species
GUCUACAGCCAUACCACCCUGAACACACCCCAUCUCAUCUGGUACCAUGAAGCUAAACAGGGUCGGGCAUGGUUAGUACUUGGAUGGGAAAAAGAUCUUCAUAGGAGAUUGCUCAGAGACAAGCAGUUUGGAGACA